CGCGGGAUUAUGACCGUGCGAAGGUAGCAUAAUCAUUAGUCUUUUAAUUGAAGGCUGGAAUGAAGGGUUGGACGAGAAAUUAGCUGUCUAGUGUUUUGAAGAUUGAAUUUAACUUUUAAGUGAGAGGGCUUAAAUGAAUUAGAGGGACGAUAAGACCCUGUAAAGUUUGUACAUCAGGGUUAAUGGGUAGCGAUUUAGGUUAAUAAGGCUAACUCUUAUGGAGGUGUUUAGUUGGGGCGACUGGGAUAUAAGUUAUCUAACUGUUUCUUUAUUGGAAUCAAUAAUAUUUGAGUUUAUGGUCCUCUUUAAGGAUUUCAGAAUAAAUUACUUCAGGGAUAACAGCGUAAUUUUUUUUGAGAGUUCUAAUCGACAAAAGAGUUUGCGACCUCGAUGUUGAAUUAAAAUUUCUUUGUGGUGUAGCAGUUACAAGAGAAGGUCUGUUCGA
rnacentral:rRNA from 1 species